rnacentral:rRNA from 1 species
GGAGGUAGAGCACUGUUUGGACGAGGGGCCCCUCUCGGGUUACCGAAUUCAGACAAACUCCGAAUGCCAAUUAAUUUAACUUGGGAGUCAGAACAUGGGUGAUAAGGUCCGUGUUCGAAAGGGAAACAGCCCAGACCACCAGCUAAGGUCCCAAAAUAUAUGUUAAGUGGAAAAGGAUGUGGCGUUGCCCAGACAACUAGGAUGUUGGCUUAGAAGCAGCCAUCAUUUAAAGAGUGCGUAAUAGCUCACUAGUCGAGUGACACUGCGCCGAAAAUGUACCGGGGCUAAACAUAUUACCGAAGCUGUGGAUUGUCCUUUGGACAAUGGUAGGAGAGCGUUCUAAGGGCGUUGAAGCAUGAUCGUAAGGACAUGUGGAGCGCUUAGAAGUGAGAAUGCCGGUGUGAGUAGCGAAAGACGGGUGAGAAUCCCGUCCACCGAUUGACUAAGGUUUCCAGAGGAAGGCUCGUCCGCUCUGGGUUAGUCGGGUCCUAAGCUGAGGCCGACAGGCGUAGGCGAUGGAUAACAGGUUGAUAUUCCUGUACCACCUAUAAUCGUUUUAAUCGAUGGGGGGACGCAGUAGGAUAGGCGAAGCGUGCGAUUGGAUUGCACGUCUAAGCAGUAAGGCUGAGUAUUAGGCAAAUCCGGUACUCGUUAAGGCUGAGC